AUUUUAGUAAGUCUAUUGCCUUAGGGUCUCAGUAUUGCAAAUACUGAUGCGAAUAUGAUAUAUUCUAGGCUU
rnacentral:tRNA from 1 species